rnacentral:ribozyme from 1 species
CUCCUUUUUUUUUCUUUUCUUUUUCCCUUUUUUUGUUUGUUUUGUUUUGCUUUUUCCGUGUACUUGAAUAAAAUCGGGUUCGGUUGAGUAGGGGCCUAGGCUAUGUAUGGAUGGCCGCGAAAGAAAAAUCAAAGAAAU